AUUGAACGCUGGCGGCAGGCCUAACACAUGCAAGUCGAGCGGAUGAAGGGAGCUUGCUCCUGGAUUCAGCGGCGGACGGGUGAGUAAUGCCUAGGAAUCUGCCUGGUAGUGGGGGAUAACGUCCGGAAACGGGCGCUAAUACCGCAUACGUCCUGAGGGAGAAAGUGGGGGAUCUUCGGACCUCACGCUAUCAGAUGAGCCUAGGUCGGAUUAGCUAGUUGGUGGGGUAAAGGCCUACCAAGGCGACGAUCCGUAACUGGUCUGAGAGGAUGAUCAGUCACACUGGAACUGAGGCACGGUCCAGACUCCUACGGGAGGCAGCAGUGGGGAAUAUUGGACAAUGGGCGAAAGCCUGAUCCAGCCAUGCCGCGUGUGUGAAGAAGGUCUUCGGAUUGGAAAGCACUUUAAGUUGGGAGGAAGGGCAGUAAGUUAAUACCUUGCUGUUUUGACGUUACCAACAGAAUAAGCACCGGCUAACUUCGUG
rnacentral:rRNA from 1 species